GACGAACGCUGGCGGCGUGCUUAACACAUGCAAGUCGAACGGAAAGGCCCUGCUUUUGUGGGGUGCUCGAGUGGCGAACGGGUGAGUAACACGUGAGUAACCUGCCCUUGACUUUGGGAUAACUUCAGGAAACUGGGGCUAAUACCGUAUAGGAGCUCCUGCUGCAUGGUGGGGGUUGGAAAGUUUCGGCGGUUGGGGAUGGGCUCGCGGCUUAUCAGCUUGUUGGUGGGGUAGUGGCUUACCAAGGCUUUGACGGGUAGCCGGCCUGAGAGGGUGACCGGCCACAUUGGGACUGAGAUACGGCCCAGACGCGUACGGGAGGCAGCAGGGGGGAAUAUUGCACAAUGGGAGGAAGCCUGAUGAAGCAACGCCGCGUGCGGGGUGACGGCCUUCGGGUUGUAAACAGCUUUCGCCUGUGACGAAGCGUGAGUGACGGUAAUGGGUAAAGAAGCACCGGCUAACUACGUG
rnacentral:rRNA from 1 species